rnacentral:lncRNA from 1 species
CCAAGUGCAAUAUUCAAACCACAAGCCCUGGCCACCUUACAGACCAGCUCAUUCGUUCCAUGUUUAAUGGAUGAAGUUACCAAGAUUCAGGCAAGGAGGGGAACUCAUGAAAUUCAUACCCAAGUUAGAAGUGUCCACAAUGGAACUGAAGUCUCCAGACCACAGGAGAAAAAGGCCUGCCACCACUGUCUGGAGAAGGUCAUAUCAUCUGGCUCGACAGUAAGGCUGCACGCAUGGAAGUUAGACCUUGAACUCAAAAAGACUUGCUUGCAUUCAAGACCUACAUCUACCCCAGCUCGGACCUUGUCUUCAGCUGGACUGGAGCACCACGAACUCCAGGGGUAAAGGGAAGCGUCUAGAGCCCGAUUCCUUCACCAGUGAGUAUGUCAUUGAGUUAUUUGCUGAAUUAUCCUCCAAACUAUAAUUUGCAUCCUGUUUUCUGGCAGCCUACAUUUUUGUAGUUGGAUGGGAGACAGCUUCCUGUUCUCUGCAAUUGGAAAGCGGUUUAAGUACAUCACACCUGUAAACAGAGCUCCUAACUGGCAUCCACAGAGUAGCCCAAAGAAGGCAGGGACUCCCCAAGAGCAGUGAGCCAGCCCCCCAUCUCAGGAGGUAUCCAAGCAGAGUCAGAGACCAAAUAGAAGGUUUCAUAAUUAAACGGGCAGGAAGACAAGAGGGCUUAAAGAAGUUCAGUUUUCUUUCCAGUCCUAAAAGUUGGGGAUUCUAUGACAUAUAGAACCAAAUGCUAUUCAGUGUGAAUAAUGCUGCUUGUUGUUUAAGGCUUAUUAUGCACCAAGCCUUGUGCUGAAUACUUCACUUGAGUUCUUUCAUUUAAUCCUGACAUAAAAGGUGGCCU